rnacentral:rRNA from 1 species
GACGAACGCUGGCGGCGUGCUUAACACAUGCAAGUCGUACGGUAAGGCCCUUUCGGGGGUCCACGAGUGGCGAACGGGUGAGUAACACGUGAGUAACCUGCCCACAACUUUGGGAUAACGCUAGGAAACUGGUGCUAAUACUGGAUAUGUGCUCCUGCUGCAUGGUGGGGGUUGGAAAGCUCCGGCGGUUGUGGAUGGACUCGCGGCCUAUCAGCUUGUUGGUGGGGUAGUGGCCUACCAAGGCGGCGACGGGUAGCCGGCCUGAGAGGGUGACCGGCCACUUGGGGACUGAGAGCCGGCCCAGCCCCCUAGGGGGGGCGGCAGGGGGGAAUUUUGAACAAGGGGCGCAAGCUGGGUGCAGAACCCCCGCGGGGGGGAGGACGGCCUUGGGUUUGAAACCCGUUUUCGGCAGGGACGAGGUUUUUUGUGACGUUCCCGGCAAAAGAAGCCCCGCCUAACUCCGUG